rnacentral:lncRNA from 1 species
UGGCUCGGAAAUACUGAAACAAAACAAGCAAGUCGCCGGCUGCAUAGCCAUUGCCGUGUAGGUAUUCACGUCGACUACUCGGAGUCGGCGAUGGCGUGACGCACAUCGACAAAGCAAUGCUGGAGGUGGAGCGGAGGAAGGCAAAAUCAACAGAAGGCAGACGCCUUUAGAUCGAUGCUCUCCUGCUUCCCCAUAUAUAGGUUACGGGCUUGCCAAUAUGCAUUUUUUUUAGUGCUCCAGAGAUCUCAUAUAGUAUACAUAUCUGAUUAGGCACCUUGCUUUCAAGGGCCCAAUGUGGCUGCCCAGCUCGACCCCCCUCAGGUCCGGGGGCCUGGCGACGGGCAAGAAAAUAUGGAAGAUGGGUUGUUACACUUUGGCUGCGUCACGUGUUCAUUUCUUUGUGUACCUUUGCAAUAAUCAGAACAAGUGCUGCUUACAUAUGGACAGGCAUGGAAAUUAUAUCAAAAACUGUCUAAAGCAUUCCCAUGUGCACUCUUGUGGUAUGUUGUGACACUGUGCUCACAGUUGAGCACAUCAGUGAACUAGCCAUGGU